rnacentral:rRNA from 1 species
GUCUAUGCGCCAUGCUACCCUGAACAUGCCCGAUCCCGGCUCAUCUCGGAAGCUGAGCAGGGUGGGGCCUGGUUAGUACUUGGAUGGGAGACCACCUAGGAAGACCAGGUGCUGUAGGCG